rnacentral:rRNA from 1 species
UACGUAGGGUCCGAGCGUUAAUCGGAAUUACUGGGCGUAAAGCGUGCGCAGGCGGCUUUGUAAGUCAGAUGUGAAAGCCCCGGGCUUAACCUGGGAAUGGCAUUUGGGACUGCAAGGCUGGAGUACGGCAGAGGGAGGUGGAAUUCCACGUGUAGCAGUGAAAUGCGUAGAGAUGUGGAGGAACACCGAUGGCGAAGGCAGCCUCCUGGGCUAGUACUGACGCUCAUGCACGAAAGCGUGGGGAGCAAACAGG